rnacentral:lncRNA from 1 species
GAAGGAGAAGAAGAAGAAGAAGAAGAAGAAGGAGGAGGAGGAGGAGGAGGAGGAGAAGAAGAAGAAGGAUAAGAAGAAGGAGGAUGAGGAGGAGGAGAAGACGACGAAGAAGAAGAAGGAGAGGAAGAGGAUGAUUACAAUACUUUUCUUAUUUUGAGCUUAUUAUGUCAUUUAGGAUAAAGAUACCCUAAGUUAUGAGCUAACCAAUGUUCUUAUGAUGUUUUU